UACAGAGGGUGCGAGCGUUAAUCGGAAUUACUGGGCGUAAAGCGCGCGUAGGCGGCUUUGUAAGUCGGUUGUGAAAUCCCCGGGCUUAACCUGGGAACUGCAUCCGAGACUGCAUGGCUAGAGUAUGGGAGAGGGAAGUGGAAUUUCAGGUGUAGCGGUGAAAUGCGUAGAUAUCUGAAGGAACAUCAGUGGCGAAAGCGACUUCCUGGACCAAUACUGACGCUCAUGUGCGAAAGCGUGGGGAGCAAACAGG
rnacentral:rRNA from 1 species